GGAUCGAUGAUGACUUCCAUAUAUACAUUCCUUGGAAAGCUGAACAAAAUGAGUGAAAACUCUAUACCGUCAUCCUCGUCGAACUGAGGUCCAGCACAUUACUCCAGCAGGGACUAGACAGACAGGGCGAACAUCCAUUUGUUGACAUGGGUUAUACCAAGGGUUCUGUUUGGCCUUAGGAUGGUGUCUUUUAUGGUUGAAUGGGAUCACAGGAGAGUGGUGGCUCCCAGGCAUAGGAAAUUUCUUGUUUGAAGGACUUUGUCAGUGAGCGUGGGUAACAUAUGCAUUGUCUGCAAGACUGGAUGAACGUCCAUGUGGCCUAGCAAGAGUUAGCUGGUAACCCGCCUCUGAUUGCCAGUUUGUUCUUGAGUCCUUGUUCUGGGUUCUCAGGUCCCCUGGAAGAAACAGAUCUGUCUAGUUGGGAGGAGGGUACAAGGCCACAUCUUUGUCAUUUGUUGGCUAACUUUGUCCUUGGUUGAGGACAUUAGAGUUUUGGUCACUGGGCAUAGGCUGUGUGCCUGUGUUAUAUCCCAUGUGAUUUGGGGACAUGUAUUUCGCAUGAACAGGUGAGCUCCUGCUCCAAGCUGGUUCUAAUCCCUGAGGAGCCUCUGGCUUCUCCUAUACCCGAUAGAGGUUAAAGCCUUCCUCCUUAGGGGUUCAUGGUCCCAAAGCUUUUGUGAGUGGCAUGACAGGCAUUGAGGCAGUGAUGUUGAGAGGUAUGUACAAUGUCAGUGCUCUUUAGCAGCAUGGUGCACUGCAGGGGCCUCCAGCCCCGAGAUGAGCAUCCCCACUUCCGUGCAUUUUGCGUCCAUGAACAAGGGAGGCCACAUAAAGGCAGAUAGCAGAUGUACCCCAGGACACUGGAUAACAUGGCCCUGUGACCUGUGCACCUGUCUGCCUUUCUGAAGCACGCCUGUGUUUCCUCUGCACUUCGCAGGUGGUGUUGGCGUCAAGGCAGGCUUGUAUCAUGAGGAAUAAUUGUCAUCUCGUAUGAUCCUUGGAGAUGGCAGGAAGCCCCUGGACACACAUGGUGUGGACUCCUUCAGAGGCUGUUGAAGCCUUCCUUAAUGUAGCACUGGCAUGGAAGGCAGGCCCGUGUUGGCGAGGGACAAUUGUUAUCUCAUGUGAGCCGCGGAGAUACCAGGAAGCCCCUGGACACAAUGGCAAAGACUCCUUUGGAAGUUGUUGGAUCCCUUCUGAAUGUGGCGUUGGCAUAAAAGGCGAGCUUGUAUCAUGAGGAAUGAUUGUCAUCUCGUAUGAUCCUUGGAGAUGGCAGGAAGCCCCUGGACACACAUGGUGUGGACUCCUUCAGAGGCUGUUGAAACCUUCCUUAAUGUGGUGUUGGCGUCAAGGCAGGCUUGUAUCAUGAGGAAUAAUUGUCACCUCGUAUGAUCCUUGGAGAUGGCAGGAAGCCCCUGGACACACAUGGUGUGGACUUCUUCAGAGGCUGUUGAAACCUUCCUUAAUUGGUGUUUGUGUAAAAAGCAGGCUCAUGUUAGCAAGGAAUGAUUGUCAUCUCAUGUGAUCCUGCGAGAUGGCAGAAGUCUGGGGCCACAUGGAGUGUGGGCUCCUUCGGAGGCUGAUGGAACCCUCCUGAAUGAGUUGUGGCAAUGGAAGUAAGGCCAGUGGCUACGAGGGACAGUCUUCAUCUUGGAAGAUCCAUCGAGAUGGCAGGGAGCCCCUUGACAAGUGGAAUCUGGUCUCCUUUGGUGCUGCUGGUGGAUCCCACAGGUGGUCUGACAUGGAAGAAGGCCACAGGCUGCGAUGGAUGAUCUUUGUCUUGGGGGAUUCCUGGAGAUGGUGGGGAGCCCCUGAGCACGUGCAGCACAUGUGGCGUGGGCUUCUUCAGAAGCUGGUGGACCCCUGAGGAUGCUCGUCAAGGUUUUUCUGUGAGUUCUGUUAAAGAGUCGGAAAAUGGAGCCUAGAAGACAUGCUUCAGUUUCCAGGAUGGUUGUGUUUUCCAGAGAGGCAUAGAUGCCGGGUAUCUCUGUGUAGGGGGAGGAGACUCUGGACCACAGGAAUGAAGAGAGCAUCCUAGUUCAUUGUGGAACCAGCACAGAUUUCCAUAUGAAAGUUUUUUUUUUUAACCUUAAAAAGUGACAGAAUGGAGUGUAUCAUGGAAAAAUCUGACAUCAAAACCUCAAAAUGUGAUAUUGAUUGGGUGAGAUAGAAUUCCAUGGAAUUCCAUUGCCAAACCAGUGAAGUGCUAAUUUUGACAUUUGUACCAGCUGAUGUAGCUGUGAAGAAGCACAUCAAUACCACUUCUAAGGACAGCAUACACCAAGAACUGGGUUUCAUAUGGAUGAAUUUAUUCUUCCUUUGAGGCAAGACAAGAAGGAAAGAAAGUAUUGGGACUAAUGCCAUCCUCAAGGGCCAGUGGGAACUCUAAUAUUGAUUGGGUGAGAUACAAUUCCAUAGAAUUUUACCACUGAACCAGUGAAGGGCUAAUUUUGUCAUUUGUACCAGUUAACUAAUUUGGGAGGAAACAGAACAACACACUCCUGAGGGUAAAAUGGAAACUCUGAGAGUUUGGUUGGCGGCAUCUAUAUACCAUAGAAACAGAGCCUGGGAAGCAGAACAGUGAGACCCAAGAGAAAUGUUCCUGCCUGUACUUGGUCUGUUCCCACAUUUGCCUGAACUACUGAUUGACCUUUUGAGGGUGAUGAGAUGAUUGGUUGUCACAGAAUUCCGUGGACUUUAACCAGUGAUGCGCUGAUUUUGUCAUUUGUACCAGCUAACUCAUCUGGGAGGCAACAAAACAAUAUUCUCCUGAGAAUGAAGUGGACCAAGAACUGGGCUUCAUACGGAUGAAUUUAUGUUUUUCUCCAUGUGGAGACGUGAAGGAAAAGUAUAGGAAAUAAUUCUGCCUCCCACCCACAAGUCCCCAUGGGAAUUUCUCACAUGUUAAAAAGCAUUUUGUCCUGAAAAUAACAACAUUUUUUCUUAGGGAAUCAGGACACUCCAAUGACGGUGAGACUCUGGCUAUGCCAGUCAGCCAUGGGCUGGUCAUUGACUGUGAUGCUGGUCUCCAUGAUUGAAUAGUGUGGGUCAUUGGUGACAGAUAGCUGUGUGCUCAGUGUCUGUCACGUAUCUCAGGUUCAAAGUCCCUUUUAUAAAUGUGACUGGAUCAUGAUGACUUAAAAAUGGAUCUCGGAAUCUGAGCAAAACGAGUGACCAAACCACUUCUGUGCACUGAGGUCCAGCACAGGGACCAUGCCAGGCAAACACGUGGAGAGAGUUCAGUUUGGUCAGCAGCUGGUACCAAAAUGGCCCAUGGUAUUGGAAAACAAACCCACUCACAUAGGUUACAGCACAUGAAUUGUACAGAGGUUAAUGUGGACGAAGAACUAGAUUUCAUGUAAAAGAGUUUAUUCCUUCUACUUGAGGUGUGACUUGAAGGAAAGUAAUGGAAAUAAUUCUGCCCUCCCAUUCUCAAGGGCCGGGGGAAUUCUAAUCUUGAACGGAAGUGAUUUUGGAAUUGCAUGGAAUUCUCACUGCCAUCCCAAAGAAAUGCUGAUCUUGUCACUCUCACCUGUUCCGUUGCCUGGGGCAGAACAAAAGGAUGUACUUCAAAGAGCGACAUGAACCAAGAACUGGGUUUCAUAUGAAAUAUUUUAUUCUGUC
ensembl:lncRNA